UACAGAGGUGCCGAGCGUUAGGCGGAAUCACUGGGCUUAAAGCGUGUGUAGGCGGACUUCUAAGUACCUUGUGAAAUCCCACGGCUCACCCGUGGAACUGCUGGGUAUACUGGUCGUCUUGAGCCACCUAGGGGCGAGCGGAACAAAUGGUGGAGCGGUGAAAUGCGUAGAUAUCAGGAGGAACACCAGCGGCGAAGGCGGCGCCCUGGGCCGGAACUGACGCUGAGGAGCGAAAGCGUGGGUAGCAAACAGG
rnacentral:rRNA from 1 species